rnacentral:misc_RNA from 1 species
AUUACUUUCACAAUGGCCUCCCCUGGCUUAGAACUUCUGUUUAACAGCAUUAAGAGUCAAAUCAAGACAAGUCAGGAUGCUUUGAUAGCUGUUCUUCAUUGGGAGCUAAUAUCAAAGGGAUUUAAAUGUCUAGGAAAUGGAGAGGAGUCCUCAGAUACAUCAACAGAGCAAGGAAUCUGAGAGCCUACCCACAGGAUGGAAUUCCUCCCCCAGCUUUUAUGCCAUGCGUUAUUCCUCAAAAGCUGAGAAAGAUGCUGUUUACAUUCUUAAAGUGAUCCAGAUUGAGGAUGAUUUUCUAGUUCAUUUCAUGAAGAAGGGAACAGAAGCAGUGGAGAGUUUAAAUGUGAGAACAGCUGACUACACAACUGGAAGUGUUGAAUCUUACUGACAGGACAUACAAAAAUUUAGAUGAAUUGUGUGCCUUGUUUAAAUCAUCUAUUGUGGAUCCAGUACUAAAGCCCCAAAGUACUACUAGAAGUCAACCAAGUCAGGAAAGGAAUCGGGGUCAAAGGUCAAGGUUAGAGGAAGAGGAUCCUCUCCGAGUUCCUACAAGAAGACCACCAAUGCGUAACCCUGGUGGUUGGAAUGAACCAGAUGACCCAUUUUCCAUUGGAAGAGGUGACCUUGAUCCGUUUACUGCAGGACGAGGCGGAGGAAUGAUGUUUGACCCACUGAGGACUGGUAUACCGGGCAUGCGGCCUGACCCCAGCGCUGGACUCCCCAGCAGACUCCCACCGUCAGUGCUUUCUGUAUUCUGUUGUUGACAUUGUUAACCAUUAUACAUGUUGAGCAUAGUUUUUGUCAUGUAUCAAUGUAGACCAUUUACCGGUAUUUAAUUUUUGUUUGAUUGUUACAUUUACAAAAACUGAUCUUUCAUUCAGAAUCUAAUUAUAUCAAUAUGGAAAGAUUAUAGAAAUCAAUAUAGAAGUAAAAAAAAAUCAGAUUUGAAAAUGGUUUGCCAUGUGCAUAUUAUAAUUUACAGGUAACGAAGAAACUAUUAUGCCUUUGAUUUAUUCUUGUAGUCUUAUGCCACUGUUUUUAUCCACAGGGGUGCUGUUCCCCCUGGAGCCAGAUUUGACCCCUUUGGACCCCCUGGAAUGAGGCCUGGGUGAGAUAUUGUUCUAAAACAGCUGAUAGCACCACUAUAACAGCUGAUCACACCAGUAGCUGCCUGCAUAACAUUGAUAUCAUUUUAAUGUACAUUUAUUGAAAUUAUGUAAAUGUUAUUAUGAUUAUGGCUCAAUGUUUGAUUAGACCACAUUAGCAUUAUCGGAAUACCCAUAUUAGAUUUACACAGUAAAUAUAUAUAAUUGUGUAACCUUAUUUCCAGGCCUGAUCCUGACCACAUGCCUCCCCCUGGCUAUGACGACAUGUUUAUGUAGGAUACCUGUAACAGAGUUGUCAUCGUGGAAACUUCAAACCAGGUGGAGAACAGUUAAAAAAUCUCAAUAGCUGUGUCGGGGUAUCCUCGUUUUCAUUUGAUAAACUGCCAACUAUCUUGUACAUGUAGCCAUGUGCAUGUAUGAAUAUUAAAGAUCAAGAAAAUUAUUUCUAAAAGCAACUUGCACCAACAUUAACUAUAUACAUGUGUAAUACUUUAUACCAAUGAACUGAAACAUUGUUAUAAGAGACUAUGAGGAUACUAAGUGUAAAAAAUUACAUUGUACUUUGAAUUCUUGAUCCAUAUAUUUCUGUGUCAUUAAUUAUGCAUGUAUUUUCAAGUUGACCCGAUUUAAAAUCCAUUGCUAAUGACAUGUUUUAAAGAUUCUGUCUCUGUCAUUACUGCUCAUUGUGUACAUGUGUUAAGAUUCAAUGCAUGUAAAAUGGAUGAUCCUAAUACACUUUCAGUAGUGUGUCAUAUAUCACCUUGUCACAAAAUACAACAUUAAUGGUGUUAUUGAAACCCUAUCUGUUGUUACCUAGAGGUGUUUUUCUUUUUUUCCAAUCAAAAUCAAUACCCCAUAAUGAACAUUGAUAUUUAGCCUAUGAAUUAUAGAGUGCUGUUUUAUUGUCAUCUAUUAUUAUCCCGAGAUUUCACAGGUAGAUUCGUAUCACCAGAUUAUAAAGAAAAAUCAAUUUUCCGCUGAUCAAGAUUUGGAUAAUGGGGAGUAGAAAAUAUCUGAGGGAUUCUUCUUUGUUUAAAAAACAAUGCUGGUUUAAUUAAAAUACCAUUGAAAAC